UGCUCAUGCCCUCUCUUUCUCUAAAAUAAAUAAAUGUUAAAAAAAAAAGGUUUUUCUUAAAGUCUUUUGUCUUUAUAUUCCCAGGGCGAACGAAGUCUUUAGUCUGCAUAUUCCCCGAGCUUAUUUCAGAGCCUACCACAUAGAAGUGCUCAAUAAACCCAGCCUCCUUUCUCCUUUGGGACCAUUAGAUAGUCCUUAUUUAUGGAGCAAGUGCAGCCUUGUUUACUUUCCCAAAACCUCUGGAGCAGAGCAGAAUUUUCUUAUUCCAGUGUGUUUAGUUGACUUGGGCACAUUUUAACUACUUUGCCUAAAAUCAACUAGCUUCCAAGUGGCAAGCAAGAAGUGAAAUCUCUGUCUUCCAAGUCUUACCCCAGUGCUCUUUCUCUUUAACCCCAGGUUUCAGAUGUAUUUAUUUAAUUUUCAACACCCUUGCCUCAUUCCAACAGGGAAUUUAUUCAACAGAUUAAGCACCAACCAUAUGUCAGGCACUGUUCUUUAAUUUAAGAACAUAGUGAUGCAUAAGACAGAUCAAGCGAAGGUUAGAUGAUAAAUAGUAAUUAUUUAAUUGGUCUAUUUACAAAUGAAAUACCUAACAGUUGCUCUAUGCCCUAUUUUGUAUGUUUUUCAUUUAUAGGUGAAGAAGCUGGAGCACAGAGAGGUGAAAUAAUUUGGCCAAGGCCACACAACUGGAAAGCGGUAAAGUUGGAAUAUGAACCCAGUGUGGUUACCGAGUUCUGUGUUCAUAACCACUCUCCCUCAGGCCGCCAGUAUAAAAUGUUCCAUAAAGUUAGGUUAUGAUAAAUGUUCUAAAAUAAGUAAAGCAGGGUAGGAGGCAAAGGGAAUGGAGGACGCUGCUUUAGACAUGGUGGCCAGAAGCAGCCUUUCUGAAGAGGUGACACUGGAGCAGAGGGAAAGGAAAGGGUGAAGCUUGGAGGGGAAGAGCAUGGCAGGAAGAGGGAACAGAAGGUGAGAUAGGAAAGUGCUUGGUGAGUGCAAGGAACAGCAGAUAGGCCAGUGUGAACAGGGAGAAGAGUGAUGGCAGAUGUGUUUAGAGUCAUGAUCAGGGGCAAAAUGAGAGAGAGGUUGCCUUUUUUUGGCCAUAAGAAAGGGUUUGGAUUUUAUUUUAGUAUGAUUUGUGGUAGCUUAUAGAAUUACAUAUGCUAUAAACAGUAAAAACAAAAUCACAUGAAAUUAAAAACACCAAGGAUAAAAUUAGGUAUAAAAUGUAGACCUUACAUUUUGCUAGUGAAUGUAGGUUAUAUGCUUUGCUACCAGCAUCAGGCUACAAAUUUGAGCUUGAAUUUCCUUGUGGCCAUUGCAAAAAGGGAAAUACGGGCAGCUCAAUGCUUCAUAGUAUCAAAAGAUUAAAAAAAGAAAGAUGUUGUUUAGAAGCACACCUACACUUAGUACUGAGAGCUUAGGGAAUUCUCCAGCUGGCUGAGAAAAUAAGUUGGAAUCUUGAACUGAUCCAAAGAAACGUUAAUGCAUUUUGUAACUAAACCGGAGGUAUUUAGUAAUUGCAGGGAGAUAUGCAAAGUUUUACUGGUUUGCCCAUGGUGGGAACAUUGAAACCGGAUAUUAAGAUCUUCUUGUGUUUCUCUAUAUACAGAAAUUUCAGUCCACACGAUUUGCAAAGACCAUAUUUUGAGGCUCAGAACAUGUCCAUAAUGCUAAAACAUUUGAUUCAAGAACUGGUUGAUUACAUGGUUUUAGGCCAAUCCAAGGGGUGGCGAUGGGACACAGCAUGGUCAGUCUGCUCACACCAUUAUUAUGAUGGUUGAGAAAAAGAAAUAGACCACAUAAUGGCCCCCUAGAGGCCAGGCAAGGGCAAGGUUUUUCUCAUUUCUGGCAUGUAAGAAGAGAAAGUAAUUUGCUCUUUUAUUGGAUUCUUUUGACAAUCAUCACCGAAAACCAAUUUUUGUCCUGCUUACUAAAAAAUGGAGAAAACAGGCAGAUUGGCUAACGAAGCCAAGAGGGGGAAGUUUCUCCACUAAGCUGUGUGCUCAUUAAUACUCAUAAUACCUCCUGUGUUUUGAGCACUUACUCCAUUCAGACAAGUUCCAUUUUUCCCCCCAUGCAUUCCUGAGUAAAGCUCUUUACCUUCUGGAAGCAGGCACUCGAUAGGCUUUCAUGGGAUGAGGAGCCUCAUAAGCCUUGGGUGGUGUGCCUUAAUUAAGUCCCAAAGUUUUGACGACAUAAUAGAGAGAACAUUUGAAAGCCAUAUAAGUUGUUCAGUCUAUUCAGAAACUACAUUAUGUUGUAACUUCAGAGUUCUAAUGGGUCCUAGGGACUAAAGAAAGGCCAGGACUGAAGAUGGAGAACACAGGAUCAUGCACAGGAGGAACCACUGAUGACAGCUCCAAGGAAGAGAGAGAGAAAGGAACACAGGGUGAAUGAACCUGCACUCUUAAUCCGGAGCCAGACUUUGUCAUGAGAAGGAGCAAAGAAUGUUGUCCUAACUCCCAAAGCUGGGUCUUUGCAUAUCAGGGGCCAAGCAUGGUGGCAUCUGAUCAUCAAGUUUGCUUAUCUAAAUCAUGGACUGUAAAAGGAGAAUCAUACCUGUCAGGUACCUCCAUGUCACAACUCUUGGUCUUAUCUCUGAGAUGCACUGAGCUUCUGGUCUUUUGGCCCAAUCUCCCCCAGCUCUUGAUGCGCCAAGUCUUUCCUGUGGGAGCUGGAGAAGAAAAGGACUGUAAAAGGAUCUUACUUUGAAAGUUACUGCGGUGGUCCAGAUGGAAAAAUAGUCCAGGCAGCUCAAAGACCAUAUCCUACAGCUAUUAUUCCAAAUCGACAAGGUAUAUACACUCUUUCAGCAUCUGUGUAGAAAGUCUCAAGAAAGAUGGCCAUUUCAAAGCCAAUCACUCUGGCUUGGGAAGAGAGGACUUAGACCGGCCCAUCAAGACUGCAUGCCCCCUUCUGCAUCUGGGGGCACAUGGAGUGCCAGUGGGAAUGCUCAAAGAUGCGUCUUUGAAGGUCAUGGAGCCCCGGAGAAGUUCUGACCUGUGUGAACCCUCUCUCCCGCUGCUAGAAGAUAACUCAGAGAGGCGGCUCUGAGGUCACUUCACUGGACACAUGUUGGAAGAAAGGAAAGGGACAGCCUCACUUUCCAGCAUUGUCCAGAUUCAUCAGGAAGCAAAUCGGGACUGCUUUGUCAACUCAUGAGGUGAUGUUUGAAAACAGCACGAGACAGAGUCUAAGACGUCUGUCUUCUCAGUUAAUGUAUCAUUCCUAUUAUGGAGAGAUGCCCAUUCUGUUGGGCUUCUUGUGGACAAGAGCUGGUUGUGCAUAGAAGGCCAGCCAAGCACACAAGAGUGCGUCAAAAGGGUGGAACAGAACCUGGCCAAAAGCAUCUCCUUCUUAAGUUACUCUUGGCUGAGGGUUUUCAUUAAUCCCCAGCCUGGGGGCAGAGAGAAAGAAAGGAUUGAUGGUUGAUAAUAGUUAUUACUGAAUACCUACUAUGUGCCCGCUGUGUACUAUGUAUGUAUGUAUGCUGAAUACCUACUAUGCUCCAGGUGAAAGCCUUCGCAACUACACCACGUUAUGCAAGCCUCAAGACAAGUUUAUAAAAUAGCUGUUCGAUGUAGCUCAUUUUUAGCUGGAGAAGACAAGACUAAGAGAGGUUAAGUUCUUGGCCUCUGAUUACACUGAGGUGGGAGCAGAACUCACUUGCCUGACCUGGGAGCCCACUCUGGCCGCUGCAGCAAGAGCUUCCCUAGAGUAUUUGUGCUUGCUUUGUGUGAUUGUCUACCACACGUGUGCAUGGCCCGAAGUUAUAGAUUUAAUACGCUGAUUAUAGCGCAUUCCCUCAUAGGGCCUUUCUAAGUUUCAGUGAAUCCUUUGUCAUUUGUAUACAUGUCUCCAGACAUCGUUAAGGGGUAAGCCUGAGUCAGUCAGAUACAGACAGGGACUGGCCAUCAAGAAAGCAAUGGUCCUCACAGAACGGGCCACACUGGUUCUCUCUCAGACCUAUCUGACUAAAUCACCCUUGCUCUCAGGACUGGAUGGCUGCUGAUUUCGAAGGUUUUGAGAAAGCUUCCCCAGCUGUGCAGGCUCUGUCUGCCCCAUCUACUGAGUUGGAUGCAAAUUCCCAGGAACAUGAAUCACCUGCUUUUCUCUAGGGUUUUGCUCCGUCCCUGGCCCCAAAUAUUUCAUAGCAGCAAUGCCAAAAAGAAGCCCUGAGAGAGAGGAAAGCUUGCAUAUUAAUUCCAGUGGCGACGUAAUGAGAAUUUCAUUCACUUACUUUGAAUUCCCUGGUGUUCCCCCAUCCUCCCCUUGGUUCAUUAACUCUCCGUACCUUGCCCGGCUGCUGAAUCUCAAGAGAAUGGAUGCACUCUCGUUUCCUCCAGCAGUUUGCCUGGUCCUCUCCUCCCUGCAUUUCCCCCAGGCCCUCACACAUACAUCUGCUCCCGCCCCUAACAGAGGACUUUAUCCAGGCACGGAGUGUGUGAUUCUCGCUCUCCAGGAGAAGACAGCCUCCUUAGAGUGAGGGCUUCUCCUAAAUUCUGCAAUCCUAUCAGGCUCUGCUGGGCUUCCCGUCUCUGAUAUUGGUGUGUGUGUGUGUGUGUGUGUGUGUGUGUGUGUGAGCACGCGCGUGUGCAUGCGCACAGUCCAUGGUUCUCCCCCUCAACCCAACACAACAGACGCCCUCAUUUAUGUCAGAGAGGGACCUAACUCAGUUGUGUUCAAAAUACGACAAAACGCCUUUCUGUAAUCUGAGCCUAUAAUUCCAGAUGAAGAUGUAGGAGUAUGAAAACUUGUGCAGGGAUGGGGAGGUGGGGGUUGUGGUUUGGGGCGAAAGUGUAAACUGGAAUUUAUAAGCCACCCAGCACAGGUUAGAGCCAAGAGCUGACAGUUUCAUUCUCAGCUUAGAUGAAGAAGCAAACAUGCUUUUACAGCAGAACAAUCUCAUUUAGUCUUUGCUAACCACUUCUGCCAGAAGGUGUCUCUGAAAUACCCGAGCAGGGGUGCGUGUGGGUAUGCUUGCAUGCGUGUGUCAUCUCACCGCAUAAACUGGGGAAUGUAGACGAGGGCACUGAUCCUCCCCGUCCUGUAGAUGUGCUUUCACUGCUCUAAGUUGGCUGCAGGGCUGAAUACACUCUUCAGGCUUCGGAGGCGCAGGGCUGACUCCAUGGGUGUGUACACGGGCCAGCACAUGCGGUAGGACUCUGCACUUGCCAAUGCUGUGCUGUUGCUGCCUUAAAAUUCUUAAGGAUUUAUAUACAACAAGGGAUCUGCACUCUCCGUUUAGCACUAGGACCCAUAAUUAGGCAGCUGAUCCUAUUGAGAAGCAGAUCAUAGAUAGAACAAUGGCUAAAAACACCAAAUAGAAAUGAGUUGUGUGAUCUUGGGUCAGUCACUUCACCCUGCUGAGCCUCAGCUGGGCUCAAAUUUGGAGGCUCUCAACUCUGGCCGUACCUCUGAAUCACCAGAGGAGCUCUGGAGGAAUAUCAAUGUACUAGAAUCCAUUUGGAAAGGGCACUGGCAGCAGAAUUGUUCUGAAGUUUUUUUGAAAUUCUGCAGGUGAUUCUGAUGCAAAAUUGUUUUUGAAAACAUAAUCCUGGGUAAUCUAAGCUCUGUUUUCUGUGCCCGUGUAUUCAUUUUCCUUGGUAUCUGUUUGAAUUCCUAUGACUGCUAUAUUCCAUUCUGUAAUACGGGCAUGCUUGUUUUAAUUUAAAGCUAACAUUUUAAAUUUAUUACUAUCUAGUAAAAGGACACUGCAGGAAGAUGCACCAUAUUUAAUUUGUGUAUAAGUCAUGGCUUUGCACCCUCAGAUGUGUGUGCAGCCCACUUUGACAGGCCUAGGACUAGACUGGUUAUGGUCUUUAAGGACCUUUAUUGCUUCAAUAUUCUUUGGGCCUGUGGCCUGUCUUGCGUAGAUCUUUCCACAGGAGGCCAUAUUCAUGUGAGAAAUGAAUUCCUUAGAUGUAUGUGUCCUGCCCUGCUAACAUCACCAACCCUGGGCCUUCAAGGAAGCUCAAUGACUAAAGAUCAAGGUCAAAACAGGGAGUGAUUGGUGUAGGCCCAGGGAAGGAAUCCGAAUUCUCAGCUGCUCCAGCAAGUUAACAGAAGAGUCUCACCCUUAGUCACAUCGGGAAACAUCAAUACUGUUGAAUAGUUUAUACCAAGUUAGAUCUCUUAGAGCUGCCCUGGGAUUGCUCUGGGCAAAAACAUGACAAAGGUCAAUUUGCCUUUGUUCUCUUCAGAACCCUCAAAGAGGGUUUGUUCUCUUUGUUCUCUUCAGUCCCUUGUUCUCUUCAGAAUCCCUCAAAAUGACCAAUGUGUUCAAGGGUAUUUCUGCCAGCCUAAUCAGGCCUGCCCACUAGGGGAUUAGUAUAUUCCAUGACCCAAACCACCUUUCUUCUGUCACAUAGCUGCCCUUGGAACAGGAUUUGAUAAACUAAUUCUCACUAAAGUGUCAAUGACUGGUGCAGUCUCCUUAGUUCUUUCCAAGUGUAGUAUAUUGCAACAAGGCUGCAUUUGCUUAGUCCAAAAGAAUGUGGCUUUAAGAUAGAAUUUGAGGCACGAAUGGCAAUCAAGGAGGGGUCUAGUUAGACCUAGGGCAGGCUUCCUGGACCUCCUCAAAUAACACAGCUCCUCUGGCAGUUGGCCAUAUGUUUGUCAUUUAAGCAACAAAUAAUGCUAUCAGCAAGCAAGUCUUUGAACAUAUGAAAGCAUGUAUUAAAAAAUCAACCGACCAAAUAAAUGUAAAACCCAAGGAUAUAACUUGAAU